rnacentral:tRNA from 1 species
CGGGGUGUGGCGCAGACUGGUAGCGCACCUGCCUUGGGCGCAGGGGGUCGGAGGUUCGAAUCCUCUCACCCCGA